rnacentral:rRNA from 1 species
GAGUUUGAUCUUGGCUCAGAUUGAACGCUGGCGGCAUGCCUUACACAUGCAAGUCGAACGGCAGCACGGGAGCUUGCUCCUGGUGGCGAGUGGCGAACGGGUGAGUAAUGCAUCGGAACGUAUCCUGGAGUGGGGGAUAACGUAGCGAAAGUUACGCUAAUACCGCAUAUUCUGUGAGCAGGAAAGCGGGGGACCUUCGGGCCUCGCGCUCUUGGAGCGGCCGAUGUCGGAUUAGCUAGUUGGUGAGGUAAAGGCUCACCAAGGCGACGAUCCGUAGCAGGUCUGAGAGGAUGAUCUGCCACACUGGAACUGAGACACGGUCCAGACUCCUACGGGAGGCAGCAGUGGGGAAUUUUGGACAAUGGGGGCAACCCUGAUCCAGCCAUGCCGCGUGAGUGAAGAAGGCCCUGGUU